GACGAACGCUGGCGGCGUGCUUAACACAUGCAAGUCGAGCGGUAAGGCCCUUUCGGGGGUACGACGAGCGGCGAACGGGUGAGUAACACGUGGGUGACCUGCCCUCAGCUCUGGGAUAAGCCUGGGAAACCGGGUCUAAUACUGGAUAUGACUCCAUGACGCAUGUUGUGGGGUGGAAAGCCUUGUGCGGCUGAGGAUGGGCCCGCGGCCUAUCAGCUUGUUGGUGGGGUGANGGCCUACCAAGGCGACGACGGGUA
rnacentral:rRNA from 1 species